CCAUCUUAGCUCAGAUUGCGAACGUGAACAACAUGGAAAAAUCAAGGCGGCAAGGGCAGUUUGUGAAGUCUGUUACUGCAAAUAGAUAAAACAUUGUCGCCAAAGUCCAGUGAAAAGGAUGGGAGAAAAGCAUUGUUAUUUUACAGCAUGAUUAUGCAAUUUCCUCCGAUAAAGACAACAACAGCAUCGUUCUACACCUGGCACUGACAGACGACGCGACAUGUCAAAUGACAAUAAUACUGUCGCGGCACGAAGAAAAUGAAGCAAUCAACAUUACUGAUGGAGAUGAGAGAAGGAGAAAAUUUCAAGUGUGAUAUUACAUUUGAUGAGAUUGAUAUGACAAUGGUACAUGCACCAGAGCCAACUGUCAAACAGCACUCCAGCCAGCAACAUUUUCCUCUUGUAUUCUUUGACUUGGAAUCAAAAGGAUUAGCUAGAGAUUCUCAUAUUACACAGCUGCCGUGUGUGGUGAAGAAAAGUUUUCCACCUAUAUCUUUCCAAAAAUACCUAUAACAGCAAAAGACUCAGAAAUAACAGAAAUCGAAAAUGUUAAUGGAAAUAUGUUUAGCAAAAAUGGAAAAUGUAGAAGUCAAUCCUUGGAAAAUGGAUGCUCAUCUUAAUUUUGUUUCAAAAUUUCAAACUAAAGUAAUUCUGCAUUUACAAUACCAAUGUAUGAAUGUUAACAAAUAUGAAUGUUUAUUGUAUACUAUACUCAAUUUAACAUCAUCUGUUUAUGAGAGAGAGAGAGAGAGAGAGAGAGAGAGAGAGAGAGAGAGAGAGAUUGUUACAAGAAUUGGAAAGUAACUGCAAAAAUUAUACAUUAUGUGCAAACUGCAUCAGUAAUGAUGUACACGGUGGUGUUAUUGUUCUGAAUUUUGAUACAAAUUAAUGUACCAAAUGAAAUCAUCCUAUUAAAUUUCAAUUUUCAUUUCAAAGAAAA